rnacentral:rRNA from 1 species
UACGAAGGGGGCGAGCGUUGUUCGGAAUUACUGGGCGUAAAGGGCGCGUAGGCGGCCGAUCAAGUCAGAUGUGAAAGUCCUGGGCUUAACCUGGGGACUGCAUUUGAUACUGAUUGGCUUGAAUGCAGGAGAGGAUAGCGGAAUUCCCAGUGUAGAGGUGAAAUUCGUAGAUAUUGGGAAGAACACCGGUGGCGAAGGCGGCUAUCUGGGCUGUGAUUGACGCUGAGGCGCGAAAGCGUGGGGGAGCAAACAGG